AUUGAACGCUGGCGGCAUGCUUUACACAUGCAAGUCGAACGGCAGCGCGGGCUUCGGCCUGGCGGCGAGUGGCGAACGGGUGAGUAAUACAUCGGAACGUGCCCAGUAGUGGGGGAUAGCUCGGCGAAAGCCGGAUUAAUACCGCAUACGACCUGAGGGUGAAAGCGGGGGAUCUUCGGACCUCGCGCUAUUGGAGCGGCCGAUGGCAGAUUAGCUAGUUGGUGGGGUAAAGGCCUACCAAGGCGACGAUCUGUAGCUGGUCUGAGAGGACGACCAGCCACACUGGGACUGAGACACGGCCCAGACUCCUACGGGAGGCAGCAGGGGGGAAUUUUGGACAAUGGGCGAAAGCCUGAUCCAGCAAUGCCGCGUGUGUGAUGAAGGCCUUCGGGUUGUAAAGCACUUUUGGCGGGAACGAAAAGGACUGUGCCAAUACCACGGUUCGAUGACGGUACCCGCAGAAUAAGCACCGGCUAACUACGU
rnacentral:rRNA from 1 species